rnacentral:rRNA from 1 species
AGUGAACGCUGGCGGUAGGCCUAACACAUGCAAGUCGAACGGCAGCACAGUAAGAGCGUGCGCUUACGGGUGGCGAGUGGCGGACGGGUGAGGAAUACAUCGGAAUCUACUUUUUCGUGGGGGAUAACGUAGGGAAACUUACGCUAAUACAGCAUACGACCUACGGGUGAAAGCAUGGGAUCUUCUGACCUUGCGCGAUUGAAUGAGCCGAUGACGGAUUAGCUAGUUGGCGGGGUAAAGGCCCACCAAGGCGACGAUCCGUAGCUGGUCGGAGAGGAGGAUCGGCCACACUGGAGCGGAGACACGGUCCAGACUCCUACGGGACGCAGCAGUGGGGAAUGUUGGACAAUGGGCGCAAGCCUGAUCCAGCCAUCCCGCGUGGGUGAAGAAGGCCUUCGGGUUGUAAAGCCCUUUUGUUGGGAAAGAAAAGCAGCAGGUUAAUACCCAGCUGUUCUGACGGUACCCAAAGAAUAAGCACCGGCUAACUUCGUG